rnacentral:ncRNA from 1 species
CAAAAGCUUGGUCCUGACUUUACUAUCAGCUUUGGCCAAAUUUACACAUGCAAGUAUCCGCACCCCUGUGAGAAUGCCCUACAAUUCCCCCUUCCCGGGGACAAGGAGCCGGUAUCAGGCACAACCCAUUGUUUAGCCCACGACACCUUGCUCAGCCACACCCCCAAGGGAACUCAGCAGUGAUAAACAUUAAGCCAUAAGUGAAAACUUGACUUAAUUAAGGCCAACAGAGCCAGCAAAACUCGUGCCAGCCGCCGCGGUUAUACGAGGGGCUCAAGUUGAUACUUCUCGGCGUAAAGGGUGGUUAAGAAACCUCAAACUAAAGCCAAACAUCUUCAAAGCUGUCAUACGCACCCGAAGAAAUGAAGACCUAUCACGAAAGUAGCUUUAAAAAUUCUGACCCCACGAAAGCUAGGACACAAACUGGGAUUAGAUACCCCACUAUGCCCAGCCCUAAACACAAGUAGUAAUAUUACACCUACCACUCGCCCGGGAACUACGAGCAUAAGCUUAAAACCCAAAGGACUUGGCGGUGCUUUAGACCCCCCUAGAGGAGCCUGUUCUAGAACCGAUAACCCCCGUUCAACCUCACCCUCCCUUGUUUUCCCCGCCUAUAUACCGCCGUCGUCAGCUUACCCUGUGAAGGGUACAUAGUAAGCAGAAUUGGCACACCCCAAAACGUCAGGUCGAGGUGUAGCGCAUGAGAGGGGAAGAAAUGGGCUACAUUUGCUGACACAGCACAUACGAAUAAUGCAUUGAAACAUGCAUCUGAAGGAGGAUUUAGCAGUAAGAAGGAGAAUAGAGAGUUCCCCUGAAACUGGCCCUGAAGCGCGCACACACCGCCCGUCACUCUCCCCGAAACCAAAACAAGCCAUAAAUAAACCGCAAUAAACAUGAAGGGGAGGCAAGUCGUAACAUGGUAAGUGUACCGGAAGGUGCACUUGGAAAAAU